GACGAACGCUGGCGGCGUGCUUAACACAUGCAAGUCGAACGGAAAGGCCCUGCUUGCAGGGUACUCGAGUGGCGAACGGGUGAGUAACACGUGGGUGAUCUGCCCUGCACUUCGGGAUAAGCCUGGGAAACUGGGUCUAAUACCGGAUAGGAGCCAUUUUUAGUGUGAUGGUUGGAAAGUUUUUUCGGUGUAGGAUGAGCUCGCGGCCUAUCAGCUUGUUGGUGGGGUAAUGGCCUACCAAGGCGGCGACGGGUAGCCGGCCUGAGAGGGUGGACGGCCACAUUGGGACUGAGAUACGGCCCAGACUCCUACGGGUGGCAGCAGUGGGGAAUAUUGCACAAUGGGCGCAAGCCUGAUGCAGCGACGCCGCGUGGGGGAUGACGGCCUUCUGGUUGUAAACUCCUUUCGCUAGGGACGAAGCUUUUUGUGACGGUACCUAGAGAAGAAGCACCGGCUAACUACGUG
rnacentral:rRNA from 1 species